AUGACCUCUAUGUGAUCCAAUUUAAGGCUACCUGACUGUCAACAGACCAACCAAUGUCUAGGGAUUGCAGGUUGGGUAGUCAAGGGAAGAGCAGGAAGGAAUACAAGGAGGGGCAAAGGGAAACUAGGCUUGGUCUGGGUGGGUGGCUGGGUUUAGGGGUUCUCAUGACUGGGUUUGCUGAUAUUGUUGGUCCUAGAGAGCAUAAUCUCCCAGACUUGCAUUGAGAGAUUCCUGAGUAAAAGGGAAACUACCUAAAAGGAUUCAAAUAUAUAUAUAUUUCCUCUAUUCUUUUGGUUCUCUCCACUACAAGAUCUGAAUAAAUAAAUAAAUAAAUAAAUAAAUAAAUCAGUAAUAAGCUGUAACAGAUGUGCUGGUGUCAAAUAGGGCAAGGAAGUAUGGACCAUCAACAUGGAACUGACAUUUGAUGAGAAGGGGAGAGACUGACUCAGUUAUGUUGAGUGCCAGUACUUCAGUCUUGACAGUAUUGAUGGUGGCAGGGUCGUUUCACUUCUGACACUCUGGUGACUUGUGCCCUACCUUCCUGCAAAGCCAGCACCUCCCUUUUUCUGUGAGAUGCUGAUGGACUUGGCAACCUAGAAGACUUUUCAGGAGAUGGGUGGUGGGGUCAUACCACUUGGAGAAAUCGACUUUGGAAGAUGGGGUGUCAGUUAUGGCUGUGACUGGAAUGGAUAUAGCAAGAAGAGGGUGGAAAAGAGCAUAUGAAGUGUCUUGAAUAGGUUCAGCAGCUGAGGGAAUAGUUUGUGCAAGAGUGAGAUACACUGAAGUGGUAUCACCAGCAGUUAACUCGGUCUCCAGCUGAUUCACCUUCUUAGGCUGAGUAUGGUGUGUAUGACUGGGGCAUUGUGGGUGUUGGGGACCAAUCUUGUGGCAGUCAAAACAAUGGUUCUCUCAGCGAAAUACAUCACAAAUGUACCGACCAGCUGGUGAAUGAUAAUAAGGGAGCAGGUGGGUGGGGUCAUGAUAGUAAUUGAUCAGCUGAGGAAGUUGAGCAGAGUCCGAGGAUCAAGAGGCAGAAGAGGCAGGAGUCUUAAUAGAGUGAGGUGCAUGCUGGGAGGCUGCAUCUUCAUGCACAAUUCAUUCAAUAUGGUUGCUGAUCAACACAUGUAGACUGUCCAGAUCAUUUGUGUGGAAUCUGGGCUCAUCAACUAGUCAGAGGAAAAGGCACUCAGGACAAGCAGCACAGUAAAGAUGAGUGAUUUCAUGGUCAAGGGGAUAAUGGUGGGUACCGUGGAGAUGGCUGCAGUGAAGUAUAACAGCAUCAUCAAAGCUUUGCCAAGCAUUGGGGGAAACCUCUUGAAGAGAGAGAUGGAAUUUCCUUGAGAUCACCAUUGAGGAAGGCUGCCUUGAUAUCCACUUGGUCACAUUCCAUGUCAAGAUGAUUGACUAGAGAGAGGAAUACCCUGAUUGAGUCUUUGUGGGCAACAGCAGAGAAGACCUCAUUGUAAUUGAUUCCAGCCUUUGGAGAAAAUCCUUUGGCAAACCAUCUUGGCUUGUAUGCUGCUGGUUUCCCUGUUGUCCCAUCAAUCUUCCUUGUAUAAACCCAUCUUGCCUUCAGGACCCAAUGUCCUGGUGUCCUAUCCACCACCUUCCACACAUUAUACUUAGAAGGGGCAAACAGGAAGGGGAUUCACAAGGCCAGUUUGUCAUCACCCAUAUAUUCAUCAUAUAAGGCCUG
rnacentral:sRNA from 1 species